AAAUACUGGAAAUAAAGAAGCUGAGAAAGCAACUUCUAAACCUUCAACAGUUCAAGCAAUUUUGAAGGGGAUAAAACAGAGCCCAAAGAAGAUCAAUUUGGUCGCAGCAUUAGUUCGUGGGAUGCGUGUUGAAGAUGCAUUGUUGCAGUUGCAAGUGACUGUAAAACGAGCUUCCAAAACUGUCUAUCAGGUUAUACAUUCAGCUCGGGCAAAUGCAACCCACAAUUAUGGAUUUGAUCCAGAU